GACCUUCUGUAUUCGUGCUGAGAUUUCGUCAGCGAUCAACCCUCUGGCGUUGUCUGAUGCAACUUCCAAAAUAAGUGAAGCG
rnacentral:pre_miRNA from 1 species